GCAACUUGUUUAAAGUGCAAUGUGGAGUGAAUUGAGACCAAAUUGUGUAUAAUAACAAUCAAAUAAGCACUGUGGAGUUUCAGUUGUGAUGGCAGUAAGGAUAAAAACCACCGAUUACAAGGUAAAAAUGAAUUCAGUUCAAACCAUGACCCCGGGAAUAACAAGUUUCAUACUUUCACUAAUAUAGGCAACAAAAUGUUGUUUUAUUGUGCUGAUGUAAUGGGAAAAAUAUUCCUUUAAUUAUUAGUGAUUUAUUUAGGAAUUGAUUCAUCAUCCUCCUCUAAUAUCUUUACACUGCUUUUGUAAGUGAUUGGAACUGUGAAAUGUUUUCGUUUCUGUUGUGGACACGAGUGUGGCAGUGUAGCCAGUCCCUUGUUUUGUUUAUCUUUCACUUUGAGUAUGGGAGCGCUGCCCUGAAUCUUUCGUCUGCAUUUUGGUAACACUAACAACACAUGUAAGAAUCACGAAUGCUUUCGUGUGAGGGGUCGUCAACCUGUCCGCUCUUCAAUUUGGCUAUUUUACCAAAUUAAUAAUACAAAUGAUUAUCUACCCCUUGCAAGGGAUCUAGUCCAGAAAUCUAGUCCAGGAGUUCUGAAGACUAGGUAAAUUAAUCAAGUCCAGGAGACUAGGCUUGGGAGAAAUUCGGCAUGAUGUAAUGAGUAAUAAAGAAACAAGCUGAA